rnacentral:rRNA from 1 species
AUGGCCGACCCUAAAACGUUGAAGUACAGGUUGCGACCUGUCGAAUUCAAGGGCAAGCAAACUCAUAUUAUAUGUUAUCAUAAUGUUCCUGUGUGGCCUACGACAGUUGCCGUAGUGAAUUACUUUCUCCUCACCGAUCCGUCGUGCUUUAAGUUCGACAAGACAGUCGAUUUUAUCUCCGUUUAUGAUCUGCGGAACAUGGCAGCAUCCCUUGGGGAUAAGGUAGUGACGCACAUCAAACAGGAUCAAACAAAAGACUGGACGAAGGACGAGAGGAAGGUAGCUACGGGUGCCUCGUUGUCCACAUUAUUGCAGCUAGACGGAUCUAGCAUUCAACCGAUUAACAUAUUCACCUCUGGUUUUCUUGAUUCUCCAAUCAUUUCUACCCUUUGUCAUUUGAAUAUACCAAUCCUGCAUGGAUGGAUUCUUCCCCAUGAGGAUAAGUACAAUAAGCUUCGCGGCAAAAUUUCUCAGAAUCCAACACUUGUACUGAAGGGAAUGGAAAUUGCAAGUGAAUUUUUACAGAAUUCUCAGACUGAGUUAACUCAACAAGGCAUUAAACUUCUGAUGAGUAAUAAUGAUGCUAUUGCUGAAGGGAACCUUUGUGCGUUAUAUAAAAAACAUCUUAAUUUGAUGUAUAAGCAUAAAGGAAACUUAUAUGUCCUUGUGACAGAAGGGGACACCCAAGACAUUCCCCCCACCGCAAUUUGGAAAUCUUUAACUAUGGGUUUCGAAGAGCAAGUGUUAUUCACCGACAAUUUUGUCCCUCUUCCCGCCGACGAGCAACCAAAUAAGGCGGGUAGAGAGUGGGUUGUUGAUUGGCAAAAAAGGUUGGCAGAUAGUGAAGCAAAAAAACAGGAUAAGAAAAUGAGAAGGAAGAGACCAAAUUCAGAUAUUGUACCUACUCCUUCGUCAUCUCCAAUCACACAAGAAGUGACUAAUGUACCUACUCCUUCGUCAUCUCCAAUCACACAAGAAGUGACUAAUGUACCGCUGAACUCAACCGAAGACCACGACGACAAAUUGGAGGGGCCACCCAAUCCUGUUAUAGUUGCAUAUGCACCUGCUGCCCCUUUGGAUAGUCUGAAUGGUCAAACAACAUCUUUGGCUGAUGCGAGUAAAGUGCCGGUGCUCUCCAGCGCCGACAAAAAAUUGGAGAGGCCAACCAGUCCUGGUAGAGUUGCAUAUGCACCUGCCUCUUCGGAUAGUCUGAAUGGUCAAACAGCAUCUGUGCCUGAUGCGAGUGAAGUGCCGGUGCUCCUUCCUACAUCAGUCAUAUGGAAGCUUGCUUUUUCAGACUUUCUGGAAAAGUACAUAUACGGAGAAAGUGAUGUAUAUUAUUUCCCAACCUUGUUGAACUUCAUGAAGAGUGUUACACUGUUUAAAUUUGAAGUUCGGAUUUCUGAUAUUGCGAUACAUAAUCUAGUUCUUGCUUUAGCUAUUCAAGGGAACAUUGAAAGCUUCACUGAACUGUUAACCCAACCGGUUAUCGACUUCAUGAUAAAGCAAGAAUUUGAUGCUGAAGAAGUUAUAAAGAAAAGAGUCGAGCUAAUAUUUCAUGAUGAUAUGCCUGCACAAAGAAGAGUUAUAUCCUUCUCUGAUUAUGCCAAGUAUAUGGUCCUUGUAUGGUCAUAUCAAACUUAUAACGGGACGUGGGAAAACGCAACCUCCCUCGAUGGACGACAAGCGGGUUUAGGAUAUCUGGCCUAUAUAUUAAGAAAUCAUGCCCUGAGAAAGUCAUGGGGUGGGAACUUUGUUGACUCUGACAUGAAAGUCAUUGACGGCCAAUUCAUCAUAGAUAAACCAGCUGUUGAAGAAUUCAAUCAAAAUAACAUCUGUGUCGACCUGACUACCUUAAUCAAGAAUUUGCAGAGGCACUAUAGAAGCAAAGUUGCUGGACCUCCAGCAUACUUUGAUGUAUUUCAACAAGAUAUCAUGCAGCUUAUGCCUCAUCAUCAGAAAAAUCCAGAAGAAUACGAGGAGUUCCUUGUAUUUUUGCAAAAUCAUUUUGCAUUCAAGGCGCCGUUGGUUUGCUCAACACUUCUCCGUGAAUUGUUUGUUGUGGUUCAGUCUUUAAGAAGGUACCUUAAUGAGGGUAAGCUGGGGCCCGCGCUUCCUAGACUAUCAGCUAGGUCUAAUCAGAGAAAGUGGGCGAGGCAUGCGCAACAAGGCGUGCCCUUCAGCGGAGUUUAUCACUAUGCGGACACUCUCAAGAAAACUCAGCAGAAUCCGAAGAGGAAGGAGAAUCCCCACGGGAGCACCACCAAGGAGAAUACCGAAGGGAGCACCGCCCAGGAGAAUACUGAAGGGAGCAUGGCCCAGGAGAAACCCCAAGGGAGGACCCCAGAGAAACCCCAAGGGAGCAUCCCCAAGCAGAAACCCCAAGGGAGCAGCACGAAGCAAACCCCAGAGAAACCCCAAGGGAGCAUCCCCAAGCAGAAACCCCAAGGGAGCAGCACGAAGCAAACCCCAGAGAAACCCCAAGGGAGCAGCACGAAGCAAAAACACAAGGGCAAGAUCCUUGAUAGGUUCAUGGACGAAACCUACUGGAAAUGCCUUCAAUAUGGUCGAUAUUUCAUAGAGCACGCUUUUGAUCACACAAAGAAGGAUGGUCAAAAGGUGAAAAAUCUUAUAAUCAUUCAAUUGAUGCUUGAUGGUUGUCUUGGGCCAGCAAUAUCAGAAUUGAUUUGGUACAUGAUGAGGUUUACUUGUGAUGGACCGUUUUCCCCUGUAUGGACACACUUCAAGAAAUCAGAGUAUGAUGAUAGACCUAGGAGUGCCCAAGAUGAGGAAACCAAAAGCAUUUCUAAUCUGGACGAUGAUGCGUUAGCUGACCGAGCGGCCUCUGCCUCUGAGGAUAAGGUCUUGCUGAAGCACCAAGGUGUCUCGCUCUACAGAGCUGACGUUGACAGCUUGAAUGAGCCAGCAUUCAUCACCGAUGCCAUCAUCCGGUUCUGUGUUGCUCUCUACUGCUCCACCCUCAACUGCAAGGAUGUUCGCUUCUUGGGUGCCUCACUUUCCACUGCCAUUUGUAUUUACCCGGACUUCGGCGAGCAGUAUGAUCUCGGUUCGCUCCCACUUGUUCUACUUGUCUCAAACAAUCUUCACCCUGAGCGUGGGUAUGGUGGCAAUCAUUGGUCCCUCCUCAUCCUCGAUAGCGUUACUGAUCCCUUGUGCCCACGCUUAGUGCAUCAUGACAGUAGUGGGAACGCCAACCGCAGCCAUGCCGAGCGAUAUGCCAAGGCAAUUCGCGAGCUGCUUGCUGACAAGUUUGGUGAUGCAAUUCUCUGCGAGGGGCCCACCCCGAAGCAGACCAAUGAGUAUGACUGUGGUGUCUACGUCGCAGCGGUGGCAAAGUCAGUAUUGGACUGGUACAAUCGUCCACAGCGGCAGCAGGGAACAGAUUGGUUCAGAGACAUACAGGAACAAGUAUCUGCCGAAAGUGUUUCCAGACUGAGGGUUAAGAUACGGGACAUAAUCAGGCAACUCAUUCAAGAGAAUGAGAACAAGUCUGGAAUGAGCGGUAAGGAAACUGAAAUCAUGUCUAAUCUAGACGACAGUGCUAAGGAUGUGAAUGAGAACAAGGCUGGAGGGAGCGGUAAGGAAACUGAAAUCAUGUCUAAUCUAGACGACAGUGUGUUAGCUGACCGAGCGGCCUCUGCCCCUGCUGAUGCUAAGGAUGUGAAUGAGAACAAGGCUGGAGGGAGCGGUAAGGAAACUGAUAUCAUGUCUAAUCUAGACGACAGUGUGUUAGCUGACCGAGCGGCCUCUGCCCCUGCUGAUGCUAAGGAUGUGAAUGAGAACAAGUCUGGAGUGAGCGGUAAGGGAACUGAAAUCAUGUCUAAUCUAGACGACAGUGUGUUAGCUGACCGAGCGGCCUCUGCCCCUGCUGAUGCUGAGGAUGUGAAUAAGGUCUUGCUGAAUUACCAAGGUGUCUCGCUCUACAGAACUGACGUUGACAGCUUGAUUGGGCGAGAAUUUGUCACAGAUGCCAUUAUUCAGUUUUGUGUUGUUCACUACUCCUCGAUUCUCAACUGCAAGGAUAUUCGCUUCUUGGAUGCCUCAGCGGCCAUUGGUAUCUCUAUUAGACCGUCCUUCGGCGCGGAGUAUGAUCUUGAUUCCUUCCCACUCCUGCUACUUCCUGUCUCGGACAGUGAUGACCCUGAUAAGGGGGAUGGUGGCAAUCAUUGGUCCCUCCUCGUCGUCGACGGUGCGUCUAAUCCUUUCUGCCCGCGCUUCGUUCAUCAUGACAGUAGUGGGAACGCCAACCGCAGCCAUGCCGAGCGAUACGCCAACGGAAUUCGGCAGCUACUUCCUGGCAGGUUUGGUGCUGCAAUUCUCUACGAGGGGCCCACCCCGCAGCAGAACAACGGCUGUGACUGUGGCCUCUACGUCGCGGCGGUGGCAAAGGCCACAUUGGACUGGUACACUCGACCACGGCAGCAGCGGGGAACCGAUUGGUUCACAGACGUACAGGCACAGGUGUCUGUCCAGAGUGUCUCGAGACUGAGGGCUGAUCUGCGGGACCUAAUCAAGCAGCUUAUCCAAGAGAACAAGGCUGGAGAGAGUGGCGAUGAAUAG